rnacentral:rRNA from 1 species
UGGGGAAUAUUGCACAAUGGGCGGAAGCCUGAUGCAGCGACGCCGCGUGGGGGAUGAAGGCCUUCGGGUUGUAAACUCCUUUCGACAGGGACGAAGCUUUUGUGACGGUACCUGUAUAAGAAGCACCGGCUAACUACGUGCCAGCAGCCGCGGUAAUACGUAGGGUGCGAGCGUUGUCCGGAAUUACUGGGCGUAAAGAGCUCGUAGGUGGUUUGUCGAGUCGUCUGUGAAAUUCCGGGGCUUAACUCCGGGCGUGCAGGCGAUACGGGCUGACUUGAGUGCUGUAGGGGAGACUGGAAUUCCUGGUGUAGCAGUGAAAUGCGCAGAUAUCAGGAGGAACACCGAUGGCGAAGGCAGGUCUCUGGGCAGUAAUUGACGCUGAGGAGCGAAAGCAUGGGUAGCGAACAGG